ACUCCUACGGGAGGCAGCAGUGGGGAAUAUUGCGCAAUGGGCGAAAGCCUGACGCAGCAAUGCCGCGUGAGUGAGGAAGGCCUUCGGGUUGUAAAACUCUGUCAGAUAGGAAGAAUUGCCAAGGGUCCAAUAGGCCCUUGGAGUGACGGUACUAUCAAAGGAAGCACCGGCUAACUUCGUGCCAGCAGCCGCGGUAAUACGAAGGGUGCAAGCGUUGUUCGGAUUUAUUGGGCGUAAAGCGCGCGCAGGCGGGCAGCUAAGUCAGAUGUGAAAUCUCGGGGCUCAACCCCGAAACUGCGUCUGAAACUGGUUGCCUAGAGUUUCAGAGGGGAGAGCGGAAUUUCGCAUGUAGGGGUAAAAUCCGUAGAGAUGCGAAGGAACACCAGAGCCGAAGGGGGCUCUCUGGCUGACAACUGACGCUGAGGCGCGAAAGCGUGGGGAGCAAACAGGAUUAGAUACCCU
rnacentral:rRNA from 1 species